CAGACGAAACGCUGGCGGCGUGCCUAAUACAUGCAAGUCGAGCGGACCGAAUAGAAGCUUGCUUCUAUUCGGUUAGCGGCGGACGGGUGAGUAACACGUGGGCAACCUGCCCUGUAGACGGGGAUAACACCGAGAAAUCGGUGCUAAUACCGGAUAAUACGGAAUGUCGCAUGACGUUUCGUUGAAAGGCGGCGCAAGCUGUCGCUACAGGAUGGGCCCGCGGCGCAUUAGCUAGUUGGUGAGGUAACGGCUCACCAAGGCGACGAUGCGUAGCCGACCCGAGAGGGUGAUCGGCCACACUGGGACUGAGACACGGCCCAGACUCCUAUGGGAGGCAGCAGUAGGGAAUCUUCCGCAAUGGACGAAAGUCUGACGGAGCAACGCCGCGUGAGCGAAGAAGGCCUUCGGGUCGUAAAGCUCUGUUGUUAGGGAAGAACAAGUAGCGCAGUAACUGGCGUUACUUUGACGGUACCUAACGAGGAAGCCACGGCUAACUACGUGCCAGUAGCCGCGGUAAUACGUAGGUGGCAAGCGUUGUCCGGAAUUAUUGGGCGUAAAGCGCGCGCAGGCGGUUCCUUAAGUCUGAUGUGAAAGCCCACGGCUCAACCGUGGAGGGUCAUUGGAAACUGGGGGACUUGAGUGCAGAAGAGGAGAGCGGAAUUCCACGUGUAGCGGUGAAAUGCGUAGAGAUGUGGAGGAACACCAGUGGCGAAGGCGGCUCUCUGGUCUGUAACUGACGCUGAGGCGCGAAAGCGUGGGGAGCAAACAGGAUUAGAUACCCUGGUAGUCCACGCCGUAAACGAUGAGUGCUAAGUGUUAGAGGGUAUCCACCCUUUAGUGCUGUAGCUAACGCAUUAAGCACUCCGCCUGGGGAGUACGCUCGCAAGAGUGAAACUCAAAGGAAUUGACGG
rnacentral:rRNA from 1 species